AUAGCACUUUCACAGGUCCUCCUCAGACUGUGGGCCCAGGAUUUGAUAGCUGGUGCUUAGAGAAAACUCCUUGCUUGUAACCUUGUCCUGGCAGUGUACCAGUGGCAGCUGCCACUUAGUGGGACAGAG